CUUUUUUGGGUGUUACUUCUAGAAGAUCUUGUAGGUCUUCAUAGAAUCAUUCAACUUCAGCUUCUUCAGCAUUACUGGUCAGGGCAUAGACUUGUAUUCCUGUGAUAUUGAAUGGUUUGCCUUGGAAAUGAACAGAGAUCAUUCUGUCAUUUUUGAAAUUGCAUCCAAGUACUGCAUUUUGGACUGUUUUGUUGACUAUGAUGGCUACUCCAUUUCUUCUAAAGGAUUCUUGCCCACAGUGAUAGAUAUAAUGGUCAUCUGAGUUAAAUUCACCCAUUCCAGUCCAUCUUAGUUCGCUGAUUCAUAAAAUGUCAAUGUUUACUCUUGCCAUCUCCUGUUUGACUACUUUAAAUUUUCCUUGAUUUGUGGACCUAACAUUCUAGGUUCCUAUGCAAUAUUGCUCUUUACAGCAUUGGACUUUACUUCCAUUACGAGUCACAUCCACAACUGGGUGUUGUUUUUGCCUUGGCUCUUUCUCUUCAUUCUUUCUGGAGUUGUUUCUCCACUGAUUUCCAGAAGCAUACUGGGCACCUACAAACCUGGGCUUCCUUGGUGGCUCAGAUGGUAAAGCGUCUCCUGCAUCACAGGCAAAUUCUUUACCAGUUGAACCACAAGGGAAGCCCAAGAAUACUGAAGUGGGUAGCCUGUCCCUUCUUCAGUGGAUCUUCCUGACCCAGGAAUCGAACUGGGGUCUCCUACAUUGCAGGCGGAUUCUUUACCAACUGAGCUAUCAGGGAAACGCCUUUCAUAUGAUCGGAAACAUUGUAGAUGUUAUAUGUAUUACUAACACUAGCAUCAAAAGUAAGAAGAUAAUAUACAAAGAAAUAUAUAUGUAUUUAUAAGUGUAAUAAUUCAUGCAUUGAUAAUGAAGAAACGGCAGUAUGAUUGCUCUGUGGUAGCCUAGUAUAAUCAAUGCAAUUGCUUCACAGUAGCCCAGUGUAUACACUAGUGAAUGAAUCAUUAUAAAACCUUUAUGGCAUACAGUAUUAGCCAUAUUCAUACUGGAUAUUUAUUGUAUUAGAAACAUUGUUACAUUUAAAAACAACACUUACCUGUGAUGAUAGGCUGAUAUGCAGUUUCUCCAGUUACUAGAGAGAGGGGCAUAGCGUAUGGUAAUGAAAUUCUUUGAAAGCCAAGUUAUAACAGUAAGGAAACUAACACAUGAUUGAUUUUCUAUUAAAUAUCACCCACUUUUAUGCUAGGAUACUAUAGACUAGUAUCUACAUAUGUUUAUACUAUAGAUCAGUAUCUACAUAUGUGUCAUGCGUUCACGACCUACAUUUUUCUUAAUUUUUUGUAUAUCUAGGCUUUGCAGUUUGCCUGCAUGUUUUUCAAGUUGUCACAAGUGUCCAAAAUUUUUUCCAGUGUAUUUAUUGAAAAAACCUCUAUGUAAGUAGAUUUGUGCAUUUCCUACCAAUAUGUUCAAGGAUCACACGUAGGUGGACUGUCAAAUUCCACCUUCUCAGCUUUCUCUGUUGUACACAUUACUCUUGUUGAGAAACUUCUGUAUCUUUCCUUCCAAAGGCUAACCUCCUUAGAAGGCACACUUGGGCUUCUUCCCCUACCUGUCCCUGUGAGAUCAUCACCCCCUCUUCCCCGGAAGCCCCUGCUAUGGUCACGCAUUUUCUCAGGGCUUAUUUUUGUCUUUGGUUGCUAGUGUCAUGGGAGACAGAGUCUAUGAAAUAUUAGCCUUUAUAUGCGUGUUGUCAUAUUCAAUAAGGUUGAGGAUCACAAUACAUUACUCUUUAUUUGCUGUUUAAUUUUUCCCUUCUGUAGUGAUUUUAACCUUCUAAGGUUCUGUCUAGUCUGUUCAACCAUGUUGACAUUCCUGUAAUGUUUGGGAUCCCAGCCAUGGAGCCCACACUGGCAGGCUUCUAUGCAUACACACAUGAGAAUGAUCUGUCCCCAGCCUGUACUGACUGUACCCUCUGUAACCUACUGAAAUUAGAACUGAGAUGCCAAAAGCUUGAAGCCUUCAAUAAGUUCUGUCCUUUGAAGCAUGGACCUCUCAUAGAUGUGAAGCUUUGUACCAGAAUCCUUGUAUAACUUGGCAAUGUAAAGUCUGGGACUGGACACAAACACUUAUCUUGUGCUAAAGUUGCUUCGUGGAAAGAAGUUAACAGUGGGGUUCCACUGUGUGUAAUUUAACCACUGAAAGUGAUCUGUGGUACUUGUUCAUUGAUAGAAAUUAUGCAGAACAAUUGCCAUUCUUAAGGGAUGAGCCCUGAUGGGUGGGUUCUAGGGGUCCACAGCCCUCCCAUGCAUGCAGCCUGGAGGUGCUCCUGUUGUGGGUAGCAAAGACUGGUUUCUGGGUCCCAGGAGCCCAUAGCCCUCCUCACUCACAGAACUGCUUGCUGCUCACAGGUCUCCAUUAGUUCCAAGAAGUGAGUUGGGGGGCUGUUCCACCAGCAUCUUGUAUGUUCUCAUGGAGUUCAGGGGUGCCCAGCAAUGAGAAAUACUGAGGUGCCCAUGUUCAGGAAGGGAACGAAGAAUAGCCUGUGUCAAAGUGACAUGGAAUUUCAGAGCAGGAAGAGACCUUCCUGUCCUGCUGUAAUGAGGAAUACACACACAAAAGUGGCAUUCUCAAAAAUUCUUGCUCUUUCCCAGGCUCUGCAGGACCUUUGAGUUCAGGAAUGCUGGAUGUUCGAUAAUUCCAAUAUGAACCCUGCAGCCCCUCCAUAAAAUUCUAAAUUGCUUGGGUAUGUUCCAUUAAUAAGUAGCUGAGUCAGUAACAAGUGGGAGUCUGUACGUUCACGUGUGUGUGUAUGUGUAUGUG
ensembl:lncRNA